CAGGAGUCCUCUCCAAGCCUCUGCGGUCACAGUUCAUGCUAUAAAUUGUGCAAGGGACCCAUGCCUGACAUCCAAGCAUAUGUAUGGCACAAGGACGAAUACUCUACAAGCAACAUUUGAAAUCCUAUUCACCACGUUGGAUGUCAUCGUCACAGAAACUAUUUUCAAACUGAAGGUUGAGAUUUGAGAACUA